rnacentral:rRNA from 1 species
GUGGGGAAUCUUGCGCAAUGGACGAAAGCCUGACGCAGCCAUGCCGCGUGAAUGAUGAAGGUCUUAGGAUUGUAAAAUUCUUUCACCGGGGACGAUAAUGACGGUACCCGGAGAAGAAGCCCCGGCUAACUUCGUGCCAGCAGCCGCGGUAAUACGAAGGGGGCUAGCGUUGCUCGGAAUUACUGGGCGUAAAGGGCGCGUAGGCGGACAGUUUAGUCAGAGGUGAAAGCCCAGGGUUCAACCUUGGAAUUGCCUUUGAUACUGGCUGUCUUGAGUUUGGGAGAGGUGAGUGGAACUCCGAGUGUAGAGGUGAAAUUCGUAGAUAUUCGGAAGAACACCAGUGGCGAAGGCGACUCACUGGCCCAAUACUGACGCUGAGGCGCGAAAGCGUGGGGAGCAAACAGGAUUAGAAACCCUUGUAGUCC